AUGUGUGUAACUGGGAGUAGGGCUGUCCUUCCUCUGUUCAGGAUUGCUGUCUGCUCCCAACUCAUGACCAGUGAAAACUGAACCCAAAGUCCACGAAAAGAGAAGCCCUUGGACUACAGAUCACUUCAAAUAUUGGAUGGAUCAGAAGAAGAAAAAACAAUUAUGAAGCACCACUGUUUAUUAAUAAUCAAGAACACACCAAAACUUUAAGCAAUUCAGUUGAGAUGUAGAGCGGAAAAUUGGAUCUGAAUGCUACAGAUAUAUACUAUCAUACACCCAAUGUUCAAAUCUGUCAAGAUCCUUCUGUAUCUUCAGCCUCUCUUCUGGAGUGUUGGCUAUUCCUGCCAGCUUGUUGGCUAUUCCUCAGCCUUCCAUCCUUCCGAGAGAGAGGGACAGAUCAACUGGGAAGCAGGAAGCCAAAAGACACAUGCUCUCAGUUGAUGAAGAGAAAGAUGUACCAACUUCUGAUCUUCUGCAGUUGCUUGUCCAACUGGAAGGAAUGGAAGGAAAUUGACCAUGGUCAUCAGAGAGGGGCAUGUCCCACAGGAGAAUGGCAUUUGUUAAAUAUUCAUAUUGUAUGGAUACAUUUUUGUUUAACUUUAUUUCCUUGGUAUUAACUGCUUUGAUCAUACAUUAGAUUUAAAAGGGGGGGACAGCUCAUAAGUAAACAUAGAAAUGUGUGGAAACAAUGAAUCUUCAAUCACAUGUAAACUCCUUAGUAAUCGUUUUAUGAAGUAUUGCAACUACUAAGAUCCAGCAACUCUCUCCUCAUAUUAUUUUAUAGAGCACAGAGUCCAAAGUUUCCAAACAGAUUCAGAUUGAUUGAUUCAAAUUUUAUCAUUGAUUAAAUUUGAAUUAAAUUUAUAUUUGUCAUAGAUUCCAAACUAACUCUUCCCCAACUCUUCCAUUUUGGUGCUCAGAGACAACAUUUAUCUUAUUUCUCCCAACUUACCUUCUGC